GGGAGGGGAGAGAAGGGUCUCGGCAUUUAGUAUUUGGGAGACACGCUGUACCCUCUUCAUCUAGCUUUUGACGCUUGGCUUUUUCUUGUCACUACCUUUGUCUCACUGUCCAUCAGUAGGAACGUCCAAAACAGCUGUGGCUAUGGACAGUGGGUCUAUUUGUACAUGAAGGUUGAGAGGGGGCAGUCAGCUAUCAAUGUUUAGAAUCUCGAGCUGCCAUUGAGCCCCUUUUACCAUUAGGGUAACGUCCAGGACCCACGGCUUUGCAUGGUGGGGACACUGUGCAGAGUCCAAUCCUAACGUUCUUGAAAGGAUAAGCUAGACCGACCCCGCGGUCUUCCAGAGAGCCCCGCGGGGAGGGCCCCGCGGGGAGGGUGGGCUUCCUGGCUGGCGCCCAGCACGAGCCUGUGAUGCUGCCUGGCCCCCAGGAGGAGCCAGCUGUGCCCCGGGGCUGGUGCAGACCGAACUUGGAGCGCGGGGACUGGUCGACCUGUGUGUGCAGUAGACGAGUCCAGAGCAUCCGAUAAGAAUUUGCUGCCGCUGCCAAGCCUCGCGCAGCCCCCUAAUUGGAGUUGUUCUGCUAGGAGACACUCUGGACCUGUGUCCCGAACAGCGUGGGACCCACUGCUUCAGAGCUGAAACGCUCAUGCGCUGCGCGGGAUCAAACUCUGGGACUGAGGUUGGCGGGAGGGCUGUUUCUAGGAACUGCGGGGCGACUUGAUCAUGGUCCCCGACCCUUAAGAAGCUAAAUGACCCAAGACCAUGGGGGAGGGGCCGGGAAUCUGUUCUCCACCAGAGCUGGAAAGCUACCUGACCACCCCCUACCCCCAAGGGAUUUGUCAUCUCAAACCCAAAAGAGCUAAUAUCCACCUGGCAGAUUAUUCACCCACCUGCCAUGUUUGUUCAUGAAUAUUAAAUGUCAAAGCGCAGUGCUGUUAACACAGAUUUAACUUGGAAAUGUCUGCAGUUAUGAUACCUCUGAUGGAAUAAAUCGUUUUCAUUUUCCUUU